UACGGAGGGUGCAAGCGUUAUUCGGAUUUACUGGGCGUAAAGGGCGCGUAGGCGGUUGAUCAAGUCAGGUGUGAAAUCCCGGGGCUCAACUGCGGAAGUGCAUCUGAAACUGGUCGGCUUGAGUAUGGUAGAGGGAAGUGGAAUUCCUGGUGUAGCGGUGAAAUGCGUAGAUAUCAGGAGGAACACCGGUGGCGAAGGCGACUUCCUGGACCAAGACUGACGCUGAGGCGCGAAGGUGUGGGGAGCAAACAGG
rnacentral:rRNA from 1 species